GAUGGCGAUUCAUGGCAGCUGCGGAUACUCCCUUUAGUGAGGGUUCUUCAGAGCCUGUCCGGAAAUGGUAUAUUUGUUUCCGGGGGAAGUAUGGUGCAAAUCCGAAACUUAAAGGAAUUGACGGAAGGGCACCCCCAGGAGUGGAGCCUGGGGCUUAAUUUGACUCAACCCGGGAAAACUCACCCGGCCCGGAACCCGGAAGGAUUGACAAAAUGAAAACUCUUUCUUGAUUCCGUGGGUGGGGGGGCAUGGCCGUUCUUAAUUGGUGGAACGAUUUGUCUGGUUAAUUCCAAUAACGAACGAAACUCUUGCCUGAUAAAUAAGACGUGUAUCUCCUCGUCCGCUUAACUUCUUACAGAGACAGACGGGGCUCAACCCACCACAUUGAGCAAAACAUGUCUGUGAUGCGCUGACAUGUCAGGGCUGCGCCCGCGCUACACUGCAGGAAUCAGAGUGCAUACUAUCCUGGUCCGAGACGAUCGGUACCCAUCACACUCAUUCGUGAUUGGAGAUAGGGACUUGCAAUUAUAUCUCUUGCACGAGAAUUCCCAUACGUGCAGACAUACUCUCGCGUUGAUAUGUCUCUGCUCUUGUACACGCGCGCUCUCCACACUGACAGGAAUAUGAGAGCGAUGAAGCGUAGUGAGCGUUACUCGCUGCUUAUCCUGAAAGUGCAUAACUAUCGUGAUGAUGUAAUCUCUCACAGGUCCAUAUGAUCGUGAAGUAAGGCAGAUCAUUAACUCUGACUAUCUUCAUGAGCUACUCGAUCAGCUAUCGUGCUACCGUCUCAGAUUCAUGCUACAGUUCGUCAGUUACUGCAAGUAUUGCACAUUCCCGGCGCU
rnacentral:rRNA from 1 species